rnacentral:ncRNA from 2 species
CCUCAUGCCACUGUCGUUUUUUAACGAUGGGAAGGCCGCAACUAGACGCAAGCCAGGAGACCUGCCAUUUUCAAACAAAUGAU